CGCGGGGUAGAGCAGUUUGGUAGCUCGCAAGGCUCAUAACCUUGAGGUCACGGGUUCAAAUCCUGUCCCCGCAA
rnacentral:tRNA from 8 species